CCUCUGAUGUAGCAGGCCCACCAAUCCCCCUCCUCGCUGUUGUCCCUCCUACCCCAUCUCCUCCGAUGCCGAUGUCGGCAAGUACGCCACCGCCGCCGUCCGCCUCCGAUUCCGCGACCCCUGUCUUGCCUUAUCCUCUGACGCAGCAGCCCAAUCGCCCACCAACUCCCCCCUCCUCCUUCCCGGCGUCUCCUCCCUCCACCCCAUCUCCUCCGACGGCGACGUUGGCAAGUACGCCGCCGGCACGUUCCAUCCCCCGAGCUCGCGACGCCACUCUUGCCUCCUUCUCUGAUGCAGAAACCCGGCCACCCACCCCCUCCUCCUGGCCGCCUCUUCAGCGACGCCGACGCCAGCUUCCCUGCCGACGCGCUCCAGGCCGUUCCCUUCGAGUACUUGCUGGUUCACUCCCGCGUCCUCCUCCAGUAAACCCUGUCUUAGAGACGGCUGGUCUGGUGUGAUGGUUGACGGCUGGUCUGGUCUGGUGAGAUGCCUCUCCUUCCCGCCCGUCCCGCCUCCCAAGUUCAAAAUUUCUGUCAAAGUUCAAAUCCGCGCGCCCAGUUCGAACUCUCUAGAAACCACUCCUACAACCCAAUAUAAAUAAGUGGGCAGGCAUAUGGGACUCACGCUGCUCAAACUACACCCCCAAGAAGUCACACAUUGGUCAGGCAAACCUUUAGAUUGAAGGGAGUGUGAGGAAGUGUGAUUCACUCCUCUUCGCCAUCUAAUCUUCUUCGUCAAGGGCAAGGCCAAGCGCUUCACCUUUCAUCUAUGGAGUGGCGUGGUAUUUCCAUGGGAGGUUUUUGUGGCCCAUGUUUCACGCAUGAUGGCCAUACAUAAAAAAAACUCAUUCUAGCUUCCCCCGUCUGAAUAUUGUAUCAGUAGCAGUUGGAAAAGUACUGAAUGAUACACAUCUUACAUAACUGACUCCAACAUCCUGAAUUAUUUAUAUCUAAUCUGAUUGCAGUUUUUAUGCAUUUCAUAGCUUAUUUCAUCUAAUCAGUGUGCAGUUUGAAUGCAUUAUUUUGUAGCCAAUUCCAACAGAACUUGCUCCAGUGGCAUGCCAAGUGCUCAUACAAGUCUAUUUAUACGUGAGCCAACAGAUAUGACAAGUUCAAGUCACUCGUCUUUGGACGAUGAAGUGACAAACGAAUCAUCUACGAUUUUUCCUUCUAAUGGCAAGCUCAUAUCAACUGAGGGCUUGGAGCGCGGAAAAAGCUCAAAAGGGCGAAAGCGUGCAUGUGAAGCAAUAAGAUAUGCUAGCCGUACACCAGAACAAAUCCAAGCAAGGCGAGAACGUGUUAGAGCACGUCGGCAAAAUUUAACACCUGCCGAGAAG